rnacentral:rRNA from 1 species
UACGUAGGGUGCGAGCGUUAAUAGGAUUUACUGGGCGUAAAGCGUGCGCAGGCGGCCCGUUAAGACAGGUGUGAAAUCCCUGGGCUCAACCUAGGAAUUGCGCUUGUGACUGGCGGGCUCGAGUACGGUAGAGGGGGGUGGAAUUCCUGGUGUAGCAGUGAAAUGCGUAGAGAUCAGGAGGAACACCGAUGGCGAAGGCAGCCCCCUGGGCCUGUACUGACGCUCAUGCACGAAAGCGUGGGGAGCAACCAGG